UACGUAGGGUGCAAGCGUUAAUCGGAAUUACUGGGCGUAAAGCGUGCGCAGGCGGUUGUGCAAGACAGAUGUGAAAUCCCCGGGCUCAACCUGGGAAUUGCGUUUGUGACUGCACGGCUAGAGUGUGUCAGAGGGGGGUAGAAUUCCACGUGUAGCAGUGAAAUGCGUAGAGAUGUGGAGGAAUACCGAUGGCGAAGGCAGCCCCCUGGGAUAACACUGACGCUCAUGCACGAAAGCGUGGGGAGCAAACAGG
rnacentral:rRNA from 1 species